rnacentral:rRNA from 1 species
UGGCGGACGGGGGAGUAAUGUCUGGGGAAACUGCCUGAUGGAGGGGGAUAACUACUGGAAACGGUAGCUAAUACCGCAUAACGUCGCAAGACCAAAGAGGGGGACCUUCGGGCCUCUUGCCAUCGGAUGUGCCCAGAUGGGAUUAGCUAGUAGGUGGGGUAACGGCUCACCUAGGCGACGAUCCCUAGCUGGUCUGAGAGGAUGACCAGCCACACUGGAACUGAGACACGGUCCAG